rnacentral:rRNA from 1 species
ACGGCUCAGUAACACGUGGACAACGUGCCCUUAAGUGGAGAAUAACCUCGGGAAAUUGAGGAUAAUACUCCAUAGAUCAUGGAAUCUGGAACGAUUCAUGGUUCAAAGUUCCGGCGCUUAAGGAUCGGUCUGCGGCCUAUCAGGUAGUAGUGGGUGUAACGUACCUACUAGCCUAUGACGGGUAUGGGCCUUGAGAGAGGGAGCCCAGAGUUGGAUUCUGAGACACGAAUCCAGGCCCUACGGGGCGCAGCAGUCGCGAAAACUUCACAAUGGGCGCAAGCCCGAUGAGGGAACUCCUAGUGCUAGCACUUUUGUGUUAGCUUUUCUUUAGCGUAGAUAACUAAAGGAAUAAGGGCUGGGUAAGACGGGUGCCAGCAGCCGCGGUAAUAC